CACAGACAAACCCCAACAGAACACAGACUAUCCUCAACAGAACACAGACCAUCCUCAACAGAACACAGACCAUCCCCAACAGAACCCAGACCAUCCCCAACAGAACACAGACCAUCCCCAACAGAACCCAGACCAUCCCCAACAGAACACAGACCAUCCCCAACAGAACACAGACAAACACCAACAGAACACAGACCAUCCUCAUCAGAACACAGACCAUCAGUAAAGAAUACACGGGAGGAACUCAAUUGCAUUUCCUUGGUUCCUCGCAUCCUCUCUCCUUGCCUCAUUUUAAAAACCAAUUGUAUGAGUUUUUAUUUAUUUAUUUAACUAGGCAAGUCAGUUAAGAUCAAAUUCUUAUUUUACAAUGACGGCCUACCCCAGCCAAACCCUCCCCUAACCAACAGAGCCAGCUGCAUCCCACUGCUGGCUUGCCUCUGAAGCUAAGCAGGGUUGGUCCUGGUCAUUCACUAGAUGGGAGACCAGAUGCUGCUGGAAGUGGUGUUGGAGGGCCAUUAGGGGGAACUCUUUCCUCUGGUCUAAAAGAAUAUCUCAAUUCCUUAGGGCAGUGAUUGACUUGAAAGACGAGACAUCUUUCAACCAUAUUUUGCUGGUAUUUCUCUUCCUCAAACACCGAGACGAUAUCAUCAUCAUAACCCUGAACCAGCUCCCUGGAUUCUGUUGAAUGGUUUUCCUUUAAGCUCAUCCAUUGGGUAAACACCUGGUUUAACCAGUACCUUUCCACAGGGUGUGUCUAUUAAUAUUCAUCAUUGCGCAUGUGUAAAAACGUACGUAUGUAUAAAAGCAAUGAUCACUGACACAACUUCGUCUUUCAGGUCUCAGAUCAACCAACGCAGUAACACAGGUCUCAGAUCAACCAACGCAGUAACACAGGUCUCAGAUCAACCAACGCAGUAACACAGGUAGGUUACUAAACAUUUACAUAAUACUUUGAAUAGAUCAUUAUCAAACAGACUCUACAUUCUCACUGGCAGUAGGAUUGUAAUCGUAGGCUGAGGUUUCUAUUAUACAAAUCCAAUGAGAUGGGAAAGGCAGAGGUUGGUCUGAGACAGCAGAUUUUCUGACUUUCUACAUUGCACUCGUUGAGAGAAGUAUUUAGCAAACCAGGCCAA